rnacentral:rRNA from 1 species
AACGCGAAGAACCUUACCUAGAUUUGACAUCCCGGGCAAAGCUAUAGAAAUAUAGUGGAGGUUACCCCGGUGACAGGUGGUGCAUGGUUGUCGUCAGCUCGUGUCGUGAGAUGUUCGGUUAAGUCCGAUAACGAGCGCAACCCUUAUCAUUAGUUGCUAACAUUUAGUUGAGAACUCUAAUGAUACUGCCGUGGACAACACGGAGGAAGGUGGGGAUGACGUCAAAUCAUCAUGCCCCUUACAUCUAGGGCUACAGGCGUGCUACAAUGGCCGAUACAAAGUGACGCAAUACCGCGAGGUGGAGCAAAUCACCAAAAUCGGUCCCAGUUCGGAUUGGAGUCUGCAACUCGACUCCAUGAAGUUGGAAUCGCUAGUAAUCCUGAAUCAGAAUGUCAGGGUGAAUACGUUCCCGGGUCUUGUACACACCG